UGGGGCUGUAUGCACAUGGUUUC
rnacentral:siRNA from 1 species